rnacentral:rRNA from 1 species
UACAGAGGGGGCAAGCGUUGUUCGGAAUUACUGGGCGUAAAGGGCGCGUAGGCGGCGUGACAAGUCACUUGUGAAAUCUCCGGGCUUAACUCGGAACGGUCAAGUGAUACUGUCGUGCUAGAGUACAGAAGGGGCAACUGGAAUUCUCGGUGUAGCGGUGAAAUGCGUAGAUAUCGAGAGGAACACCUGCGGCGAAGGCGGGUUGCUGGGCUGAUACUGACGCUGAGGCGCGAAAGCCAGGGGAGCGAACGGG